rnacentral:tRNA from 1 species
GGGGACUUAGCUUAAUUAAAGUGAUUGAUUUGCAUUCAAUAGAUGUAGGAUAAGGUCUUACAGUCCUUA